rnacentral:rRNA from 1 species
AUUGAACGCUGGCGGCAUGCCUUACACAUGCAAGUCGAACGGUAACAGGUCUUCGGAUGCUGACGAGUGGCGAACGGGUGAGUAAUACAUCGGAACGUGCCCGAUCGUGGGGGAUAACGAAGCGAAAGCUUUGCUAAUACCGCAUACGAUCUACGGAUGAACGCAGGGGUCCGCAAGGCCUUGCGCGAACGGACACGCCGUGGGCAGAUAAGGUAGUGGGUGGAGAAAAGCUUACCAAGCCGACGAGCUGUGGCUGGUCUGAGAGGACGACCAGCCACACUGGGACUGAGACACGACCCAGACUCCUACGGGAGGCAGUAGUGGGGAAUUUUGGACGAUGGUCGAAAGCCUGAUCCAGCCAUGCCGCGUGCAGGAUGAAGGCCUUCGGUUUGUAAACUGCUUUUGUACGGAACGAAAAGACUCUGGUUAAUACCUGGGGUCCAUGACGGUACCGUAAGAAUAAGCACCGGCUAACUACGUGCCAGCCGCCGCCGUAACAC